GGGUUUCCCCUUCCCCCGCCGCCGCUUGGUGAGAGGGAAGAAGGAGAGAUGAUGAGCAAAGGGCCUGGUGGAUAUCGGGGAGGAGGAAGAUUAAUGGAGGGGGAAGAGAUAUUUUCCAGUAUAGAAGGAAGGAAGAGGACCUAGAUAGAAUCAGAGAGAACUACCACAACAAUGAGAGAGGCGGGGGAGAUUCGGAUACAGAGAUGGAUCGAGGAAAUCUGUUCAGUAGGGGGAGGAAGAGAAGAAUGAGAUGGCAGAUCUGAUGAUGCCUGGGAGCUCCAAGGAAGAAACUGUGAAGAGAUCAGAUGAGGAACAUAUGAAAAAGGAGCUUAAAGGCAAAGAUGAUAUUACGGCGCUGGUUUCUUCUUUCGAUCUGAUCCAACAGAAUCGCUGCCCUCCCUAGAAGCAGCCAAGGCAAUUUACCUGAUGAGACCAAGAGAGUGCUUGCUGGAGGAAAAGAACACAUAGAAAAAAGUGAAGCUGCUACGGAUAGGGGAAAUAACCAAGGGCGGAAAGGGUGGAAUCAGAACAACAGAUUUGGGCAAAAAGAGAAUAUGGAGCAAAACAAAGCUGGGGGGAACUAAAGAAUGAUUUGCAAUAAGUGUAAAGACACCAGACAUCUGACUAGGGACUAUAAGUUACCUAAUUGCAUCAUUUGUGGCAAGAACUCCCAUGUUACUGAGGAAUGUGCAUGGCUGAAGCAAAUCAAACCUACCCCAAAGUUUCUUGGAUAUGCUGCCAGAGGUCUUGGUGUGCUGCUGGUACAGAAUUCUAAAGAGGUGGUCAGUAGUGAACAGACUAAUCCUAUGGCCAUUGUGAAUAUUUUUUCAGGGGAGAUCAAUGAAACACAGUUUUUGGAGGGUUUCAAUUAUAUUUUCAGUUGGAACUGGCAAUGGAGAUGCAAAAAACAUGGAGACAGAGCCUAUUUGAUGAGAUUCCCUAACAAGAGCAGACUGACAGAGCUCCACAAAUUUGGAAACUUUAACUUGCUGGGAACCAAUGUUGUGAUCAAUGUUGAUAGUUGGACCUAUGACACUCAGGCUAUUGGCAAGUUACAUACAGUGUGGGUGCAGUUUGGAAAAAUCCCAGAGUGCUUUAGGCACUUUUUUGGAAUGUGUGAGGUGGCUGCUUCUAUUGGUCCUGUCUUAGCAAUUUAUAUGACUACUAUCAUGAAAGAAAAAAUCAGGGCUAAAGUGGGAGUCAGAGAUUAUGAAAAAAUACCCCACCAUACUGAGAUAACUGACAAGGACUUGAUGAUAUACAAAAUCAAUAUGGAAUUAGAAGAGGUGGUUGGACAGGGGUGGUAUGAAGAAAAAAAGAAGUUUGAGAACAUGGAGACUGAAUCAGAUAAAAAUAACUAUGGGAGGACAGAAAAAGAUCAAGAUUGGAGAAAUGGGAUCAGAAGGGUUUAAGGAAAAUAUCUCUCUGGGGAGUGUGGGGCUCAAACAAUUUGAAGAAAUGCAGCAGCAAAAUGAGGAAAUAUUGAAGAUACAGAAAGAUUAUCUGUUGGAAGUGGAUUUGAGGAAGAAAGUUGAGGCUGAGCUAGAUAAAGUUUUAAAAACAUUCCAAGAAGUAGAAGAAAUCAGAUGCAGAAAUGAUGCCUGGAGAGCUGUGGAGGAAAAGAAGAGCACUAAUUGGGAAAAAGAGAAAAAGGAUUUGCUAGAAAUGAUUCAAGGCCAACAGGAGCUUAUUAACAAGUGCAUGUAAAAUAUUGAUGCUUGGGAAGAUGAAGAUAUCUAUGAAGAAGACUUAGGUGAGAAAAAUGGACUCGAGUAUGAAACUCCACAGGAACCCACUGCUGAUGCAUACACAGAACCAGUGGAUUAUUCAGCAAGCCAAGACUCGGUGGAAUCCUUAGGCUCGAAGUUAGGUAUUCACAAAAGGGAGGAAAAUGACAAGGACAAAGAUAAGGAUGGACCUACUAGAAGAAGUGAUAGAAACCUAUACAAGAAGGACUCUAAAAUAGAAGAUCUGGCCAAGGAAAGGGCUGCUGAAAAAGACAAUUAUGAAAAGGGACCCAGAGGUAAAAAUGUUGAUGCUGGGGGCAAAACUCAUCGUGCAAGUAGCAAGUGAUGUCUACAAGGCUGCGCAAGGUUGGCGUUUUGGAGUUCUUCGAAUUUAACAGUGACAAGAAUGAAGACUACUUCUUCUUUUGGUGCUCUGACGAAGUGAAGCGGGGAGACAGUGCAUUCCUCUGGCCCUGGAUUCCGGCUUCUUUUCUUUCUGUAGCUCCGGCUUCGCUCUGUUUUACUUUGAAACUCUCUAUGGCUUGUGAUAUGACUAGCUUAAGUGUGCGGGUUUAAAAACAUAUUGGAUGC